rfam:Ixodes scapularis strain Wikel colony gcontig_1108379321446, whole genome shotgun sequence.
GCAGUCGUGGCCGAGUGGUUAAGGCGAUGGACUAGAAAUCCACUGGGUCUCCCCGCACAGGUUCGAAUCCUGUCGACUGCG